GAUGAACGCUGGUGGCGUGCCUAAUACAUGCAAGUCGAGCGAACGGACGAGAAGCUUGCUUCUCUGAUGUUAGCGGCGGACGGGUGAGUAACACAUGGAUAACCUACCUAUAAGACUGGGAUAACUUCGGGAAACCGGAGCUAAUACCGGAUAAUAUUUUGAACCGCAUGGUUCAAAAGUGAAAGACGGUCUUGCUGUCACUUAUAGAUGGAUCCGCGCUGCAUUAGCUAGUUGGUAAGGUAACGGCUUACCAAGGCAACGAUGCAUAGCCGACCUGAGAGGGUGAUCGGCCACACUGGAACUGAGACACGGUCCAGACUCCUACGGGAGGCAGCAGUAGGGAAUCUUACGCAGUGGGCGAAAGCCUGACGGAGCAACGGCGCGUGAGUGAUGAAGGUCUUCGGAUCGUAAAGCUCUGUUAUUAGGGAAGAACAGAUGUGUAAGUAACUGUGCACAGCUUGACGGUACCUAAUCAGAAAGCCACGGCUAACUACGUG
rnacentral:rRNA from 1 species